UUACAACGUGGUCCAGAGAGCUCCCAUUACACCGACACCUAGGGCCCGGAGAACGCUAAUAGCGGAGGACAUGUGCUAUGCGUGACUACAACAAGUAACAGUAGAACCGAGUGUGCGCUGUCACACUUCAGUCCCCCUGGGUGCCCGUCUGGGAUCCGCCGGGCUCAUCAACGGUGUGUGGGGCUGGAGGAGCAGGGGAGAAAGCUAUACUGGGAGCUGAUGCAGGCCGUAAAUCUCCCCGGGUGGCGAGGGAGGGGCGGCCUGCAGUGUCCACUCUAACACCGCAGUCCGGCAUGAGGUGAGGGAUGGAGGCUGCCGCAGGGGACCCCGACGGGCAGCCCAUGGGGGCAGGCUCGCUAACGGCCAACAGAGAUUUAGACAACAACAAGGAGUCUCAAAUGAUGUCAUUUGGAUCUCUGGAAAACAAUUGAUGUCACUAUUGCCAAAGAUCAUUCAAAUAUCGUCAUGUCCACCAUUGGAAAUGUAUCAUGAAUAAUGUUUGGGAGGUGAUCACUCACAUCAGUAUGGCAGAGAACACACAGAGUUGAGUUGAGCUUAUUGAGUGUGGCACUGUGGUGGCUGCAUCUGGCCUGCACAUGCUCCUAUCAGGGCCACCAGAUCAAUUAAAGUGCUCAGUGGGUUAAAGUGAUUUCACACUGAGCUGACCCUAUACUCACUGUAGUGCACAUGUUCAAGUGGGAUGUUGGCGGGAUGCAAUGUUCUUGAUAUAUAUGUGAUAUGAAAGACUUUGCUAAUUGGUAUCUAACUAACAUCACACUUGGAAUUGUCACACACAC